GGAAGACCAAAGCUCAGUGAUACAGCAUCUGCUUUGCAUGCAGAAGGUCCCAGGUUCAGUCCCUGGCAUCUCCA